GCAAGGAAUAUUGGACAAUGGUCGCAAGACUGAUCCAGCCAUGCCGCGUGCAGGAAGACGGCCCUAUGGGUUGUAAACUGCUUUUGUACCAGAGAAAACCUAUCUACGUGUAGAUAGCUGAUAGUAUGGUAAGAAUAAGCAUCGGCUAACUUCGUGCCAGCAGCCGCGGUAAGACGAAGGAUGCAAGCGUUAUCCGGAUUCAUUGGGUUUAAAGGGUGCGUAGGCGGGCUUGUAAGUCAGUGGUGAAAUCUCUCAGCUUAACUGAGAAACUGCCAUUGAUACUGCAGGCCUAGAGUAUAGAUGACGUUGGCGGAAUAUGACAUGUAGUGGUGAAAUACUUAGAUAUGUCAUAGAACACCGAUUGCGAAGGCAGCUAACGAAACUAUAACUGACGCUGAGGCACGAAAGUGCGGGGAUCAAACA
rnacentral:rRNA from 1 species